CUAGCGACUUCAGAGUUUGAUCCUGGCUCAGAGUGAACGCUGGCGGCGUGCCUAAUACAUGCAAGUCGAACGGACGAGUAAGAGCUUGCUCUUAUGAGUUAGUGGCGCACGGGUGAGUAAUGUAUAGUUAAUCUGCCCUACACUGGAGGACAACAGUUAGAAAUGACUGCUAAUACUCCAUACUCCUUCUUAACACAAAUUAAGUCGGGAAAGUUUUUCGGUGUAGGAUGAGACUAUAUUGUAUCAGCUAGUUGGUGAGGUAAUGGCUCACCAAGGCUAUGACGCAUAACUGGUCUGAGAGGAUGAUCAGUCACACUGGAACUGAGACACGGUCCAG
rnacentral:rRNA from 1 species